rnacentral:rRNA from 1 species
AGCGAACGCUGGCGGUAGGCCUAACACAUGCAAGUCGAACGGCAGCACAGAGGAGCUUGCUCCUUGGGUGGCGAGUGGCGGACGGGUGAGGAAUACAUCGGAAUCUACUCUGUCGUGGGGGAUAACGUAGGGAAACUUACGCUAAUACCGCAUACGACCUACGGGUGAAAGCAGGGGAUCUUCGGACCUUGCGCGAUUGAAUGAGCCGAUGUCGGAUUAGCUAGUUGGCGGGGUAAGGGCCCACCGAGGCGACGAUCCGUAGCUGGUCUGAGGGGAUGAUCAGCCACACUGGAACUGAGACACGGUCCAGACUCCUACGGGAGGCAGCAGUGGGGAAUAUUGGACAAUGGGCGCAAGCCUGAUCCAGCCAUACCGCGUGGGUGAAGAAGGCCUUCGGGUUGUAAAGCCCUUUUGUUGGGAAAGAAAUCCAUCUGGUUAAUACCCGGGUGGGAUGACGGUACCCAAAGAAUAAGCACCGGCUAACUUCGUGCCAGCCGCCGCGGUAA